ensembl:lncRNA
GAUCUGGUCAGUAGUCACCAUGUGGCUAAAUUGUGGCCGAGAAGAUAAGUGUAGAGGCCCUAAGCUGAUGCUGUCCUCCUACUGUAUUGAGAUUAUAUUGAGAUUACUCUUGCUAAGAAAAGUGAUCGCUUAUCAACCACUCUCUUCAACUUAACUCGUUUGUUUCCUGGGUUGUAGCUGCAGCACACAGGAUCUUCAGUGGCAUUCGAACUCUGCAUAGCAGCACAUGGGAUCUAGUUCCCUGACCAGGGAUCAGACUGAGGACCCUGCAUUGGAAGCUUGGAGUCCUAGCCACUGGACCACAGAGAAGUCCCUCCCUCCCUCUGUAUGACUUCUCUUCCAACCUGCACACGUGGAUUAGACCAAGUGAAGGUCUCUUGCUGUUUCCUGUUUCAUAGAAGGGUGUGUCUAGUGAGGCCUGGGGUGGACAUGGUCUAACAUUAGUUCCUAAACUAGGCACCUACAUGGGCAGAACUUUUUAAAAAUCGCUGAGGCCCUUGUAUAACAGAGAUAUCAACAAGACUGAAAAGUAUGGCUGGGCUUUAUCUACUUGUUAAUGUAACUAAGUUCUUGAGCACCGUUUAAAAAUUGUUGUGUUAUAUAAUUUUUGUACUUUAUUUAAAGGGGCAGUGUAGUAUAAUGGUUAAAAGCAUGGCCUCUGGGACUAGAUUUCCCCUGUAUACUUCAGUUCCCUUACCUGUAACACAGAGAUAAUAAUAAUUCUACCACAUGGGAUUGCUGUGAGGAUUAAAUGAUUUAAUGUUAUUAAACAAUUGACUCUAAAAUGCUUAGAAUUAUACUGGACACUUAGUAAGAUCACCUUAGCAGAAAGCUAAUGACAACACUCCAAAUGAAAGGAGACCAAAAGAUCACAGACCCUAAAGUCAGAAUUAAAUUUCCUCCCUUUGCUUUGUUUCUCCCUAAAUGCACCGAAACACAGCCUCUUACCUCUAGAGCAAUGUCUUAAGCUUCCCCCUGCCCAAGUUGUAAUAUCCUUUUUUUGUUGUUAGAUCAUGUCCUAAAGUCCUACGCUUUGGUACAAAAUGAAGGUAAAUAAAGAAAUAAUGAUGGA